GUAGGGUGCAAGCGUUGUCCGGAAUUAUUGGGCGUAAAGAGCUCGUAGGCGGUUUGUCGCGUCGGCUGUGAAAACUCGGGGCUCAACCCCGAGCCUGCAGUCGAUACGGGCAGACUAGAGUGCGGUAGGGGAGACUGGAAUUCCUGGUGUAGCGGUGAAAUGCGCAGAUAUCAGGAGGAACACCGGUGGCGAAGGCGGGUCUCUGGGCCGUAACUGACGCUGAGGAGCGAAAGCGUGGGGAGCAAACAGGAUUAGAUACCCUGGUAGUCCACGCCGUAAACGGUGGGUGCUAGGUGUAGGCGGUAUUCCACGCCGUCUGUGCCGCAGCUAACGCAUUAAGCACCCCGCCUGGGGAGUACGGCCGCAAGGCUA
rnacentral:rRNA from 1 species